AAUCAACGCUGGCGGCGUGCCUCAGACAUGCAAGUCGAACGAUUAAAGCUCUCUUCGGAGAGUGUAUAGAGUGGCGCACGGGUGAGUAACACGUAAGUAAUCUACCUUUGAGUGGGGAAUAACCCGGGGAAACCCGAGCUAAUACCGCAUAAUGCAGCGGCACCGCAAGGUGACAGUUGUUAAAGGAGCAAUCCGCUUAAAGAGGAGCUUGCGGCAGAUUAGCUAGUGGUAAGGUAAUGGCUUACCAAGGCUUCGAUCUGUAUCCGGCCUGAGAGGGCGGUCGGACACACUGACACUGAAUAACGGGUCAGACUCCUACGGGAGGCAGCAGUCGGGAAUUUUGGGCAAUGGGCGAAAGCCUGACCCAGCAACGCCGCGUGAAGGAUGAAGUAUUUCGGUAUGUAAACUUCGAAAGAAUGGGAAGAAUCAAUGACGGUACCAUUUAUAAGGUCCGGCUAACUACGUGCCAGCCGCCGCAGUAAC
rnacentral:rRNA from 1 species